rnacentral:lncRNA from 1 species
GUUCAUAAUGUCAUUCUGUCUAGCUGAUUUAAAUUAAAUCAUUCAAGCUAAAGAUGGGCCUUCACUUGUCAUGUAUGGCUUCCAAAAGACUCCCCAAAAGUUCUCACUUAGUUUCUUACGUGGACCCACGAUAUAUCCAAACUGCAAUGGGGAAAAUCGUGCUGUGGAAGUAUGCCAUCUGUAUGCCAUCAACAAAUAGAGCUGGCAAGAACAUCUGUUGACAUCAAGGAAGGCGGAAAUUCGCUAGCCAGACUUCAACAGAAACCUUGGCACAACUGGUGAAUGUGAGUGGAAAAAUGAGUGUCAUAAUUUUGUGAGCACGGCUGGUGAUGCGUACAUAUCUAUGUAUCUUUGUAAGGUUUCCUUUUCAAACAUGACAGCCAUUAAACUGAAUAUCAGAAUAAAUUGAACUUCAAAUCAUUCUAGCA